rnacentral:rRNA from 1 species
CCCGCCGGCGACCGGCGCACGGGUGAGUAACACGUAUGAAACCUGCCCGUAGCAGGGGGAUAAGCGGAAGAAAUUCCGUCUAAUACUGCGUAACAACCCGAGGAGGCAUCUCCUCGGGUUUAAAGGAAGCGAUUCCGGCUACGGAUGGUCAUGCGUCGCAUUAGCUAGUUGGCGGGGUAACGGCCCACCAAGGCGACGAUGCGUAGGGGUUCUGAGAGGAAGGUCCCCCACACUGGUACUGAGACACGGACCAGACUCCUACGGGAGGCAGCAG